rnacentral:rRNA from 1 species
CUAGUAACUGCGAGUGAAGCGGGAAAAGCUCAAAUUUGAAAUCUGGCGGUCCUUUGCGGCCGUCCGAGUUGUAAUCUAGAGAAGUGCUACCCGCGCUGGACCGUGUACAAGUCUCCUGGAAUGGAGCGUCACAGAGGGUGAGAAUCCCGUCUUUGACACGGACUGCCAGGGCUUAUGUGGUGCGCUCUCGAAGAGUCGAGUUGUUUGGGAAUGCAGCUCUAAAUGGGUGGUAAAUUCCAUCUAAAGCUAAAUACAGGCGAGAGACCGAUAGCGAACAAGUACCGUGAGGGAAAGAUGAAAAGAACUUUGGAAAGAGAGUUAAACAGUACGUGAAAUUGCUGAAAGGGAAACGUUUGAAGUCAGUCGCGUUGGCUGGGGAUCAACCUUGCUCUUGCAGGGCGCACUCUCUGGCUCGACGGGUCAGCAUCAGUUUCGGCCGCUGGAGAAAGGCUAGGGGAAUGUGGCAUCGCUUCGGUGAUGUGUUAUAGCCCUUGGUCGUAUGCAGCGGCUGGGACUGAGGAACUCAGCCUGCCCUUAACUGGGCCGGGUCUUUUUGACCACGCUUAACGGGCUUAGGAUGCUGGCAUAAUGGCUUUAAGCGACCCGUCUUGAAACACGGACCAAGGAGUCUAACAUGCUUGCGAGUGUUUGGGUGGAAAACCCGAGCGCGUAAUGAAAGUGAAAGUUGGGAACCCUGUCGUGGGGUGCACCGACGCCCGGACCAGACCUUCUUGCGACGGCUCCGCGGUAGAGCAGGCAUGUUGGGACCCGAAAGAUGGUGAACUAUGCCUGAAUAGGGUGAAGCCAGAGGAAACUCUGGUGGAGGCUCGUAGCGAUUCUGACGUGCAAAUCGAUCGUCAAAUUUGGGAAUAGGGGCGAAAGACUAAUCGACCAUCUAUUAGCUGCUCCUGCCGAG